rnacentral:ncRNA from 2 species
GCCAUUCAGCGAAGAGAUGGUUCCGUGAGAGAUCACGGCGAAGAGGGAACCCGGUGGCAAUCCGGGGCUGUACCCGCAACUGUGAGCCAGGAGCUGACAACCGAUACACCACUGGAGGAAACUCCGGGAAGGGGGUUGGAAGCGAUGAUCGGUGAGCCAGGAGACCUGCCAUCGCGUCGUUCGUCCG